AAAUUCGUAUUUGAGAUUUUUAGUUAUAACAAAACUUUCAUCAUUGCAAAUUUUUAGUUACAACACCAAAAUUGCAAACAUAUAUUAUCUUCCUUUCCAAAUCUUUCCUAAUUAUAAUAAAUACCCUUCUCCUAACUAUGUAAAGAUGCAACGUUACCAUAAUUAUAACAACUUACAAUAAAAUACCGAGAAACAAAAAAAAUAUCAAUUAGGUCCCCAAAAAAUCAAGUGAAAGAGCAUUUCAGCCUUCUCUUCUUCCCUUCUUCUUACUUGAUCAUCACUGCUCAGUGUCAUUACCUGAUUAUUAACAGCAGAUCCUCCAAUUUUCCUCAUACUAUUAUUGGACGGUCCAGAUUCUUUAACCCCAAUAUUUCUCUUCUGCUCCAUGGUUUUGAAUGCCCUCUCUAACUUACACACUCUUCUAUUGCUUCCCAUAUCUACUCUCUUAAAAAUUUUCCGGCAAAAUUUGCAGAGAAAAUAUAUGAAGGAGGAAGUGAAAUGGAACUUAGAAAAGAGUUGUGCAUAUCAGAUCAGAUAGCCGUUCCUCAUGGAUAUAUAAACGAUAAUUAACUUAAAAAAAAAAAAAAAAGCUAACCCGGGAUAUUAAAACCAGGGUCUGUGUAUCUUGUUUUUGUAGGGAAAGUGAGGAUUUUCUUGGGAAAGUGGUUUUGAUAGAAUUAAUCUUAACUGUAGCUUAUAGAGUUGUUAGUUCAGCUCCCAGAUUU
rnacentral:lncRNA from 1 species